GUUGGGUAGGGGAGCGUUCUGUAAGCCUGUGAAGGUGGCCUGUGAGGGUUGCUGGAGGUAUCAGAAGUGCGAAUGCUGACAUAAGUAACGAUAAAGCGGGUGAAAAGCCCGCUCGCCGGAAGACCAAGGGUUCCUGUCCAACGUUAAUCGGGGCAGGGUGAGUCGACCCCUAAGGCGAGGCCGAAAGGCGUAGUCGAUGGGAAACGGGUUAAUAUUCCCGUACUUGGUGUUACUGCGAAGGGGGGACGGAGAAGGCUAUGUUGGCCGGGCGACGGUUGUCCCGGUUUAAGCGUGUAGGUGUGUGUUCCAGGUAAAUCCGGUUCACUUUAACACUGAGGCGUGAUGACGAGGCACUACGGUGCUGAAGCAACAAAUGCCCUGCUUCCAGGAAAAGCCUCUAAGCAUCAGGUAACAUCAAAUCGUACCCCAAACCGACACAGGUGGUCAGGUAGAGAAUACCAAGGCGCUUGAGAGAACUCGGGUGAAGGAACUAGGCAAAAUGGUGCCGUAACUUCGGGAGAAGGCACGCUGACAUGUAGGUGAAGUGAUUUACUCAUGGAGCUGAAGUCAGUCGAAGAUACCAGCUGGCUGCAACUGUUUAUUAAAAACACAGCACUGUGCAAACACGAAAGUGGACGUAUACGGUGUGACGCCUGCCCGGUGCCGGAAGGUUAAUUGAUGGGGUCAGCGCAAGCGAAGCUCCUGAUCGAAGCCCCGGUAAACGGCGGCCGUAACUAUAACGGUCCUAAGGUAGCGAAAUUCCUUGUCGGGUAAGUUCCGACCUGCACGAAUGGCGUAAUGAUGGCCAGGCUGUCUCCACCCGAGACUCAGUGAAAUUGAACUCGCUGUGAAGAUGCAGUGUACCCGCGGCAAGACGGAAAGACCCCGUGAACCUUUACUAUAGCUUGACACUGAACAUUGAGCCUUGAUGUGUAGGAUAGGUGGGAGGCUUUGAAGUGUGGACGCCAGUCUGCAUGGAGCCGACCUUGAAAUACCACCCUUUAAUGUUUGAUGUUCUAACGUGGACCCGUAAUCCGGGUUGCGGACAGUGUCUGGUGGGUAGUUUGACUGGGGCGGUCUCCUCCUAAAGAGUAACGGAGGAGCACGAAGGUUGGCUAAUCCUGGUCGGACAUCAGGAGGUUAGUGCAAUGGCAUAAGCCAGCUUGACUGCGAGCGUGACGGCGCGAGCAGGUGCGAAAGCAGGUCAUAGUGAUCCGGUGGUUCUGAAUGGAAGGGCCAUCGCUCAACGGAUAAAAGGUACUCCGGGGAUAACAGGCUGAUACCGCCCAAGAGUUCAUAUCGACGGCGGUGUUUGGCACCUCGAUGUCGGCUCAUCACAUCCUGGGGCUGAAGUAGGUCCCAAGGGUAUGGCUGUUCGCCAUUUAAAGUGGUACGCGAGCUGGGUUUAGAACGUCGUGAGACAGUUCGGUCCCUAUCUGCCGUGGGCGCUGGAGAACUGAGGGGGGCUGCUCCUAGUACGAGAGGACCGGAGUGGACGCAUCACUGGUGUUCGGGUUGUCAUGCCAAUGGCACUGCCCGGUAGCUAAAUGCGGAAGAGAUAAGUGCUGAAAGCAUCUAAGCACGAAACUUGCCCCGAGAUGAGUUCUCCCUGAGACUUAAAGUCUCCUGAAGGAACGUUGAAGACGACGACGUUGAUAGGCCGGGUGUGUAAGCGCAGCGAUGCGUUGAGCUAACCGGUACUAAUGAACCGUGAGGCUUAACCUU
rnacentral:rRNA from 1 species